rnacentral:rRNA from 1 species
UACGUAGGGUGCAAGCGUUGUCCGGAAUUAUUGGGCGUAAAGAGCUCGUAGGCGGUUUGUCGCGUCUGCUGUGAAAACGCGAGGCUCAACCUCGCGCCUGCAGUGGAUACGGGCAGGCUAGAGUGCGGUAGGGGAGAUUGGAAUUCCUGGUGUAGCGGUGGAAUGCGCAGAUAUCAGGAGGAACACCGAUGGCGAAGGCAGAUCUCUGGGCCGUAACUGACGCUGAGGAGCGAAAGCAUGGGGAGCGAACAGG